CACCACUGCAGUAAAGCGCAGUGCAGUGUGGGAGAAAUGGUUGUCCCAUUCAUGUUCUGCAGUGAUGUCUCAGGGACUCUACCUCUAGGCUACCUAUAGUUGGUCGGGUCCUUUGCCUUUUCCCAUGGAAGUGGACCCACAGCAGUUCUGGCAUGACUGGCUGCAUUCAGAUCAGAGCAGCACAGGUCAACUGGCUCCCUUGAUUCUCUAAUAAUCUCAACACAAUUAACGGAGACAUGUCAUUUCUGGUGGCAUCACAUACUGCCAUCUAGUGUCUAUUCCAUAUGCAGACAGACGCACACAGGCUUCACAUGCUGUACAUUUGUAUGUAAAUGCUGAACAUUAUGUUUUAUGGAUGUAGAAAACAGUUGUGGUCUAUGUGCAGACAGUCGUACACAAACAAAACUAGCCCUGUCUCAAAAUUAGGCUCUAUUGGCCUAUCUAUCUGAGUAGAGCCACUUUAGCUGGAACAUUUGACUGAUUGAAAUGACUGAGCUGGUCAGGGAAGGAGGAGGCAGCCCAGCAAGAUGUAGAUUGAGAGCAGCUGGGGCCUUUCCCUGAUUCCCUCCCUGCCUGCCUGUGUUGGUCUGCUUUUUGUCAUAGACAGGCCUGUCACAGACAGUGACAGACACUUGUGUUCAGGCCGUAAUCAGACGGCACUGGGCUCCGUAAAGACCCUGCUCUGUCUCAUCUGGCCUAUUGCAUAUACCUCCCUAAUUGGAAUCCUGCAACUGGGUCACUGGCAUUAUCUCUCAAGUACCGUCAAGUCAUUGAGACGCAUGAAUGUGGAAUUAUUCCUGCUCCCGAUGCAUGAUUGAGACCUCUCCUUCUUUUCUGUCUCAUCCCUCUGUCAUCUGCUGAUUUCCUCUUCUGUCACAUUAAAAUGUUAAGUCUGUGGCGAAAGCCAGGUUUGAUCAUAAUUUUGCCAUGCUUCUUGUUUUUGAAAAAAGUGAUGUUUAAUAGGUUUUUCUCCUUGAUGGUGUAGGACUGAGUUGUAUCGCUCACUAUUCGGGAAGAACACAUUGUGCUCCCGAGUGGCGCAGUGGUCUAAGGCACUGCAUCUUAGUGCAAGAGGCGUCACUACAGUCCCUGGUUCGAAUCCAGGCUGUAUCACAUCUGGCCGUGAUUGGGAGUCCCAUACGGAGGUCGCACAAUUGGCCCAGCGUCGUCCGGGUUUGGCCGGGGUGCAAUACGGGAGUGACAUGCUCUGAGCUAGUAGGAGAGAUGCACAGCAGAACAGAAGGCAGAACCCAGGAGAUAAACACAUGCCUCUUCCUGUGGUCUGGUCCUCUCCUCUAAAGGCUUAUGAACAGCACCAGUCUAGAUGUUAGUUCAGAAUGGACCUGACUGGUUUGGAAUCUGCCUCAUUGACUUCAAGAUACGGUUUUCUUCAUUAGGUUUAAAGAUGUGAUUUUGAUACUAUCAGAUUUUUUUAUUUUUUUUGCCAAGUUGCAACAAACACUCAAACUCUCUCUCUUGUUGUGAUGUUUGUUUUGUCCUAUAUUUAUAUUGUAUUUAUUUUAAUCCCAGGCCCCCGUCCCCGCAGGAGGCCUUUUGCCUUUUGGUAGGUCGUCAUUGUAAAUAAGAAUUUGUUCUUAACUGACUUGCCU
rnacentral:lncRNA from 1 species